ACUCCUACGGGAGGCAGCAGUGGGGAAUUUUGCGCAAUGGGCGAAAGCCUGACGCAGCAACGCCGCGUGAGUGAUGAAGGCUUUCGGGUCGUAAAGCUCUGUCAGGGGGAAAGAAGUGUAUUGUGGCUAAUAUCCACGAUACUUGACGGUACCCCCAAAGGAAGCACCGGCUAACUCCGUGCCAGCAGCCGCGGUAAUACGGAGGGUGCAAGCGUUGUUCGGAAUUAUUGGGCGUAAAGCGCGUGUAGGCGGUUUGCUAAGUCUGAUGUGAAAGCCCCGGGCUCAACCCGGGAAGUGCAUUGGAAACUGGCAGACUUGAAUACGGGAGAGGGUAGUGGAAUUCCUAGUGUAGGAGUGAAAUCCGUAGAUAUUAGGAGGAACACCGGUGGCGAAGGCGGCUGCCUGGACCGAUAUUGACGCUGAGACGCGAAAGCGUGGGUAGCAAACAGGAUUAGAUACCCUGGUAGUCCACGCCGUAAACGAUGAGAACUAGGUGUCGCGGGUA
rnacentral:rRNA from 1 species